rnacentral:lncRNA from 1 species
GCCCGAGGUGGAGCUCCCGUAGUGCCAGUAGCUCAGGCGGCCGCGCCGCGGCGAGGGUGACACACUAUGGUCACGGCCCCUAAAGACCGUCGUGCCGCGGAGCAGCACUCCCCGGCUCCCCGAUCCGCCUCAGCCGCCUCGGCAGCGCUCAGAGCCUGCUGCUGGAGUUGAGGCGCUCUCGGUAGAGGGUUCGGCGAAGUUUCUUGAAGGGGCGCGGAGCACCGCAGGCGGCGAGUGCGCUAUCGCUCUGGGGUCAGGCAGCCGGCGGGGGUCGCCGCCGGAGGGGCGUUUCCGAGGCGUUGAGGAGGAGGAGGAGGAGAUGCUGCUUCUCUUCUUCCCCUCCCAGGCUUCUGCUUCAGCUCCUUCAGCCCACGCCCGCAGCAGCUUGGGGGAGAAGAGGUGGUGGUUCUCCGCACCCGCGGCAGCUGCCGGCGGCCAGCCGGGACGUCGCGUUCCCGCAACCCUUGCUCCGCGCUCCAGUAGCAGGAACGGGUCUCCCGACGAGCGGGUAAGGACUAGGGCGGCCCAGGGCGCUGGACUGGAUGAUCAAG